rnacentral:rRNA from 1 species
UACGUAGGGUGCAGGCGUUAAUCGGAAUUACUGGGCGUAAAGCGUACGCAGGCGGUUUGCUAAGACAGGUGUGAAAUCCCUCGGCUUAACCGGGGAACUGCGUCCGAUACUGGAUGACUUGAGUUCGGGAGAGGGAUGCGGAAUUCCAGGUGUAGCGGUGAAAUGCGUAGAUAUCUGGAGGAACACCGGUGGCGAAGGCGGCAUCCUGGACCGACACUGACGCUGAGGAGCGAAAGCCAGGGGAGCAAACGGG